rnacentral:rRNA from 1 species
UACGGAGGGUGCAAGCGUUAUCCGGAUUUACUGGGUUUAAAGGGUGCGUAGGUGGACAGAUAAGUCAGCGGUGAAAUCUCCAGGCUUAACUUGGAAACUGCCAUUGAUACUAUCUGUCUUGAAUAUCCUGGAGGUGAGCGGAAUAUGUCAUGUAGCGGUGAAAUGCUUAGAUAUGACAUAGAACACCUAUUGCGAAGGCAGCUCACUACGGGAUUAUUGACACUGAGGCACGAAAGCGUGGGGAUCAAACAGG